rnacentral:rRNA from 1 species
UAGGGAAUCUUCGGCAAUGGACGAAAGUCUGACCGAGCAACGCCGCGUGAGUGAAGAAGGUUUUCGGAUCGUAAAACUCUGUUGUUAGAGAAGAACAAGGACGUUAGUAACUGAACGUCCCCUGACGGUAUCUAACCAGAAAGCCACGGCUAACUACGUGCCAGCAGCCGCGGUAAUACGUAGGUGGCAAGCGUUGUCCGGAUUUAUUGGGCGUAAAGCGAGCGCAGGCGGUUUGUUAAGUCAGAUGUGAAAUCCCCGGGCUCAACCUGGGAACUGCAUCUGAUACUGGCAAGCUUGAGUCUCGUAGAGGGGGGUAGAAUUCCAGGUGUAGCGGUGAAAUGCGUAGAGAUCUGGAGGAAUACCGGUGGCGAAGGCGACCCCCUGGACGAAGACUGACGCUCAGGUGCGAAAGCGUGGGGAGCAAACAGG